AAAUACAUAAUAAAUGAAUAAAAUAAAUUAUAAAAAAAUACAAAAAUACUGAAAUAAGCGUAAUCGUAACCACAAGUCGCGACCCAUCAAAAAAAUUUCGCAACUAUGGUUUGGGAAACGCUGAUCUAUACUGUAUCCACGAAUUAAGAUAAUAUACCCACUACUGUAGAUACUACUAUAGCCUACUAUAUACCUACUUAAGUCCGUGAUCGGGUGAUUCCACAGGAUAUUAGGUAUUAUUAUUUAUUAUUGUUAUGUGGUAUUGGGGGAUACUGUGAUAGUGGUAAUAGUUGAAUUUUUUUAGGUUAUGUUAAUUUAUCGUUUAUUUGAAGUCCGUAGAUGAUACAAUGAGCCAUAAGCGAAGGCGAUAGUGUUUCGUACCGUUUUGCUUUAUUUGAGUUUAUUAUAAUAUCGUGAUUCGUGAUGCAUUUUAUGUAUUUAAUAUUUAUGCUAAUUCCUUUUUCUUCUUGAAGUUGUUAAUGUUAGCGUUCAAACCGUCUUGCAAUGAGUGAAAAACCCUCGCAAAGUAAACCAAUCAUUGUCAGGAAUA